rnacentral:rRNA from 1 species
AAUCAACGCUGGCGGCGUGCCUCAGACAUGCAAGUCGAACGCGAAAGUCCCCCUCGGGGGACAAGUAGAGUGGCGCACGGGUGAGUAACACGUAGGUAAUCUACCUUCGGGUGGGGAAUAACAAUCGGAAACGGUUGCUAAUACCGCAUAAUGCAGCGGCACCUAAUGGUGACAGUUGUUAAAGCGGGGGAUCGCAAGAUCUCGCGCCUGAAGAGGAGCCUGCGGCGGAUUAGCUAGUUGGUAGGGUAAUGGCCUACCAAGGCGACGAUCCGUAGCCGGCCUGAGAGGGCGGUCGGCCACACUGACACUGACAUACGGGUCAGACUCCUACGGGAGGCAGCAGUCGGGAAUUUUGGGCAAUGGGCGAAAGCCUGACCCAGCAACGCCGCGUGAAGGAUGAAAUCCC